AUGCUUUCAUUCGCGACACGAGGCGCAAGACGUCUACAGUGUUUGAACGCAUCUCAACUAACGACGAGACAUCGGCGGACCCUGCGCUCCAGGGCCGCAGGGAGCAAUGAGUAUCUGGCCUGGAACUGUCGAGGACUGGGGUUGGAAUUGACAGUAGGCGAGCUACGAGACCUGAUACGGUCCCACAACCCAGCGGUGGUGUUUUUAUGUGAAACGAAGAAGAAGGCAAGGGCGAUGGAAAGGGUCAAGUGGAGUUUGGGAUUUACUAGUGGUAUUGCAGUUGAUUGCGCGGGACGAAGUGGUGGGCUGGCAUUGUGGUGGAGGGAGCAUAUUCAGGUAAAUGUGAGGCCGUGGAGCCAAUACUUUAUCGAUGCGGAGGUAACAUGUGAAGGGCAAGUCUAUAGAAUCACUGGAUUUUACGGAGAGCCCCGGACAGAAUUACGGAAAAAAUCUUGGGAUGCUAUUCGAUACCUACGGGGACAGGAUAAUCUAGCUUGGAUGUGUUUGGGUGACUUUAAUGAGGCGCUUUUUCAGACGGACCAGAUUGGUGGUAAUAUAAGAAGCUUUACACAGAUGGAAGACUUCCGUGACUGCCUCGAUGACUGCGGGUUGGCAAAUCUGGGCUUCUCUGGCUACCCAUACACGUGGGACAAUAGGCGGGAUGGUGAGGACAAUAUUCAGGUUAGAUUAGACCGUGCCACUUGCAAUGAUGGAUUUUUACAAAUGUUCCCCGAAACUGAGGUCGAGCACAUCUUGACGGAGGAAUCGGACCACCAGGCCUCUUAG
rnacentral:rRNA from 1 species